GUGAGGAAUAUUGCGCAAUGGACGGAAGUCUGACGCAGCGACGCCGCGUGGGUGAAGAAGGUCUUCGGAUCGUAAAGCCCUUUUCUUGGUGACGAGGAAGGACGGUAACCGAGGAAAAAGUGUCGGCUAACUACGUGCCAGCAGCCGCGGUAAAACGUAGGACGCAAGCGUUAUCCGGAAUUACUGGGCGUAAAGGGCGCGCAGGCGGGUCAACAAGUCAGCCGUGAAAGCUUUUGGCUAAACCGGGAGAGGACGGAUGAGACUGUUGGUCUAGAGGGUGUCAGAGGAGUGUGGAAUUCCGCGUGUAGUGGUGAAAUGCGUAGAGAUGCGGAGGAACACCAGUGGCGAAGGCGGCACUCUGGGACAUCACUGACGCUGAGGCGCGAAAGCAUGGGUAGCGAACGGGAUUAGAAACCCGUGUAGUCC
rnacentral:rRNA from 1 species